UACGUAGGGUGCGAGCGUUAAUCGGAAUUACUGGGCGUAAAGGGCGCGUAGGCGGCCUGUUAAGUCGGACGUGAAAUCCCUCGGCUCAACCGGGGAACUGCGUCCGAUACUGGCGGGCUUGAAUUCGGGAGAGGGAUGUGGAAUUCCUGGUGUAGCAGUGAAAUGCGUAGAUAUCAGGAGGAACACCGAUGGCGAAGGCAGGUCUCUGGGCUGACACUGACGCUCAUGCACGAAAGCGUGGGGAGCAAACAGG
rnacentral:rRNA from 1 species